CGCAGUGAUAUAUCUUGCGUAGGUCCGAGGCGAACUCACUCUUUGAUUUCGGCAACGCUAAUACCCCGGAGAUGAAAGAUUUCACGGGGAGGCGCCGAUUCUCGUAGUGGUCGACCAGAGCUCGCCAUAUACGCUUGAAAUUAGCACUGGUAGUGGGUGGGCGAUGCGCAACUUGCUCUGCUUCUCCUUUCAGGCUCGUCUUGAGGUGAUGCAGUUUUUGGACCGGUGACGCCAACGGAUUUUCCACGACGAGUAACACAAAGAGAUCAUGACACGUCGGCCAGUCCUCAUAUCGGCCCGAGAAUUGUGGAAUGAAGAUUCGGGGCAAUUUAAUGUGUGAAAAAGCGGUGUCGUUAAUUGUAAUAGCAGGUCGUCCUUGACGUACUUAUCCUCGUCGAGGUCCGCACCGUAGCUCAUAAUGAGCUGUUCGUGCUGGGUCUGGAAUCUGGCCCAGUAACCAUCGAGGGUCAGCAUUCGAGUUUCCAGCAGUCCCGCGAUGAUGUUAGCCGCGCCUGAUUUCAUCAUAUUUUUAUAAUCGCCGUCAAGAUGCACCGUAUCACGGAGUUUACCGCACUCAAGCACUACGCGGGAUCGGACCUCACGGAUCCGGCUCAAAAGAUCAGAAAUUAUGUACACGCGCGGAAAGUUGACGCCGAGGAAACGCUCGGUUAGCGCACAUUACGACGGCCAAAAAAUGUGAAGCAAGAAAAAGGAAUAAAGCUCACUUGCAAUAA